AGAGUUUGAUCCUGGCUCGGAUUGAACGCUGGCGGCAUGCCUUACACAUGCAAGUCGAACGCGAAAGGCGGGCAACUGCCGAGUAGAGUGGCGAACGGGUGAGUAACACAUCGGAACGUACCCUGUCGUGGGGGAUAACGCAGCGAAAGCUGUGCUAAUACCGCAUACGACCUGAGGGAGAAAGCGGGGGACCUGGGCAACCGGGCCUCGCGCGACUGGAGCGGCCGAUGUCAGAUUAGCUAGUUGGCGGGGUAAGAGCCCACCACGGCGACGAUCUGUAGCUGGUCUGAGAGGAUGAGCAGCCACACUGGGACUGAGACACGGCCCAGACUCCUACGGGAGGCAGCAGUGGGGAAUUUUGGACAAUGGGCGCAAGCCUGAUCCAGCCAUGCCGCGUGAGUGAAGAAGGCCUUCGGGUUGUAAAGCUCUUUCGGCCGGAACGAAAUCGCAGCGCCCAACACGCGCUGUGGAUGACGGUACCGGAAGAAGAAGCACCGGCUAACUACGUGCCAGCCGCCGCGGUAAUUC
rnacentral:rRNA from 1 species